CGCGGCCUAUCAGCUUGUUGGUGGGGUAAUGGCCUACCAAGGCGACGACGGGUAGCCGGCCUGAGAGGGCGACCGGCCACACUGGGACUGAGACACGGCCCAGACUCCUACGGGAGGCAGCAGUGGGGAAUAUUGCACAAUGGGCGAAAGCCUGAUGCGGCGACGCCGCGUGAGGGAUGACGGCCUUCGGGUUGUAAACCUCUUUCAGCAGGGAAGAAGCGAAAGUGACGGUACCUGCAGAAGAAGCGCCGGCUAACUACGUGCCAGCAGCCGCGGUAAUACGUAGGGCGCAAGCGUUGUCCGGAAUUAUUGGGCGUAAAGAGCUCGUAGGCGGCUUGUCACGUCGGGUGUGAAAGCCCGGGGCUUAACCCCGGGUCUGCAUCCGAUACGGGCAGGCUAGAGUGUGGUAGGGGAGAUCGGAAUUCCUGGUGUAGCGGUGAAAUGCGCAGAUAUCAGGAGGAACACCGGUGGCGAAGGCGGAUCUCUGGGCCAUUACUGACGCUGAGGAGCGAAAGCGUGGGGAGCGAACAGGAUUAGAUACCCUGGUAGUCCACGCCGUAAACGUUGGGAACUAGGUGUUGGCGACAUUCCACGUCGUCGGUGCCGCAGCUAACGCAUUAAGUUCCCCGCCUGGGGAGUACGG
rnacentral:rRNA from 1 species